GGUGUAGGUGGCUUUGUAAGUCAGAAGUGAAAGCCCUGGGCUCAACCCAGGAAGUGCUUUUGAUACUGCGAAGCUUGAGUGUGGGAGAGGAUGCUGGAAUUCCAGGUGUAGUGGUGAAAUACGUAGAUAUCUGGAGGAACACCGGUGGCGAAGGCGGGCAUCUGGCCCAACACUGACACUCAGACCCGAAAGCGUGGGGAUCAAACA
rnacentral:rRNA from 1 species